AUUGAACGCUGGCGGCAGGCCUAACACAUGCAAGUCGAGCGGAUGAAGGGAGCUUGCUCCUGGAUUCAGCGGCGGACGGGUGAGUAAUGCCUAGGAAUCCGCCUGGUAGUGGGGGAUAACGUCCGGAAACGGGCGCUAAUACCGCAUACGUCCUGAGGGAGAAAGUGGGGGAUCUUCGGACCUCACGCUAUCAGAUGAGCCUAGGUCGGAUUAGCUAGUUGGUGGGGUAAAGGCCUACCAAGGCGACGAUCCGUAACUGGUCUGAGAGGAUGAUCAGUCACACUGGAACUGAGACACGGUCCAGACUCCUACGGGAGGCAGCAGUGGGGAAUAUUGGACAAUGGGCGAAAGCCUGAUCCAGCCAUGCCGCGUGUGUGAAGAAGGUCUUCGGAUUGUAAAGCACUUUAAGUUGGGAGGAAGGGCAGUAAGUUAAUACCUUGCGGUUUUGACGUUACCAACAGAAUAAGCACCGGCUAACUUCGUG
rnacentral:rRNA from 1 species